GGGCCGUGGCGGUCCUGACCGCGGUCGCGAUCGGGCCGCGGGUGAUGCGCGCUCCGCGCAACCGGGCGCUGUUCGGCGCGGCGGUGGCCUUCC
rnacentral:tRNA from 1 species